GGGGAUGUGGCUCAGUGGUAGAGCACUUGCUUAUUAUGCAUGAGAGAGUAUCAUCUUUCCCCA
rnacentral:tRNA from 1 species